AAUGAAAGGAGAAGAAAGAAGAAGUCUGUGAACAAAAAUUAAGUCUGGCUCACCUUUUCGCAUGUUUUCCUCAGUUUAGAACUUCACAUACAGAUGUUCACAGCUGUUUUCCAGUUAUGGAGAUGACCAGUAUGGAGCAGAUGACAAGGAUGGGAGAUUUAAGUUUCCUUUGACAUCACAAUGUGCAACAGAGCACCAAAAAUACCUGAGCAAUAAAAUCUGGCGGGCAUAUUCUUUGGAAUGCCCUUAGUGGAAAUGUUCCAGUUUUUGCCAUAAGCAACUUCUAUUUGCUCUGGUUUUUCUCUUUUCUUCUUGAGAGACUUUAAGGCAAAGAGAGCCAGUUUCAACAUUCAAUUGAUCUUUAAAAAAUCACAUCCUGCAGAUAUGGGGAAAAUGCUAAGAAGAAAAGGGGGCAAAAGCAAAACUUUUAAGGAGGGGACGAAGUCUUACCCUGCCAAUAAGAAAUCCCAUCUGGGUACAUCUUGAGUAAAGAUAAAACUAAGAAUACAGAUCG